rnacentral:rRNA from 1 species
UACGGAGGGUGCGAGCGUGGUUCGGAAUUACUGGGCGUAAAGCGCGUGUAGGCGGCCUUCUAAGUCUGGUGUGAAAGCCCGGGGCUCAACCCCGGAAGUGCAUUGGAUACUGGGAGGCUGGAGUACCGGAGAGGAGGGUGGAAUUUCAGGUGUAGCGGUGAAAUGCGUAGAUAUCUGAAGGAACAUCAGUGGCGAAAGCGACUUCCUGGACCAAUACUGACGCUCAUGUGCGAAAGCGUGGGGAGCAAACAGG